rnacentral:rRNA from 1 species
GAUGAACGCUGGCGGCGUGCUUAACACAUGCAAGUCGAACGGAAAGGCCCUGCUUUCGUGAGGUGCUCGAGUGGCGAACGGGCGAGUAACACGUAAGUAACCUGCCCUUGAUUUUGGGAUAACUUCAGGAAACUGGGGCUAAUACCUGCUCGGAGCUCCUGUUGCAUGGCGGCGGUUGGUUAGUAUCGGCGGUUGGGGAUGGAUUCGCGGCUUAUCAGCUUGUUUGUUGGGUAGCCGAUUACCAAGGCUUUGACGGGUAGCAGGCCUGAGAGGGUGACCGGCCACAUUGCGACUGUGAUACGGCCCAGAGUACUACGGGAGGCAGCGGUGGGGAAUAUUGUACAAUGGACGGAAGCCUGAUGCAGCAACACGGCGUGCGGGAUGACGGCCUUCGAGUUGUAAACCGCUUUCGCCUGUGACGAAGCGUGAGUGACGGUACUGGGUAAAGAAGCACCGGCUAACUACGUG